rnacentral:rRNA from 1 species
UACGUAGGUGGCGAGCGUUGUCCGGAUUUACUGGGCGUAAAGGGAGCGUAGGCGGACUUUUAAGUGAGAUGUGAAAUACUCGGGCUCAACUUGAGUGCUGCAUUUCAAACUGGAAGUCUAGAGUGCAGGAGAGGAGAAUGGAAUUCCUAGUGUAGCGGUGAAAUGCGUAGAGAUUAGGAAGAACACCAGUGGCGAAGGCGAUUCUCUGGACUGUGACUGACGCUGAAGCUCGAAAGCGUGGGGAGCAAACAGG